rnacentral:rRNA from 1 species
AUGACGAAGAAGCUUGCUUCUUCUGAUUUAGCGGCGGACGGGUGAGUAACACGUGGGCAACCUGCCCUGUAGAUUGGGAUAACUCCGGGAAACCGGGGCUAAUACCGAAUAAUCCAUUUCCUCUCAUGGGGAGAUGUUAAAAGACGGUUUCGGCUGUCACUACAGGAUGGGCCCGCGGCGCAUUAGCUAGUUGGUGAGGUAACGGCUCACCAAGGCGACGAUGCGUAGCCGACCUGAGAGGGUGAUCGGCCACACUGGGACUGAGACACGGCCCAGACUCCUACGGGAGGCAGCAGUAGGGAAUCUUCCACAAUGGACGAAAGUCUGAUGGAGCAAUGCCGCGUGAGUGAAGAAGGUUUUCGGAUCGUAAAACUCUGUUGUGAGGGAAGAACAAGUACGAGAGUAACUGCUCGUACCUUGACGGUACCUCAUUAGAAAGCCACGGCUAACUACGUGCCAGCA